rnacentral:rRNA from 1 species
GACGAACGCUGGCGGCGUGCUUAACACAUGCAAGUCGAACGGAAAGGCCCUGCUUUUGUGGGGUGCUCGAGUGGCGAACGGGUGAGUAACACGUGAGUAACCUGCCCUUGACUUUGGGAUAACUUCAGGAAACUGGGGCUAAUACCGGAUAGGAGCUCCUGCUGCAUGGUGGGGGUUGGAAAGUUUCGGCGGUUGGGGAUGGACUCGCGGCUUAUCAGCUUGUUGGUGGGGUAGUGGCUUACCAAGGCUUUGACGGGUAGCCGGCCUGAGAGGGUGACCGGCCACAUUGGGCCUGAGAUACGGACCAGACUCCUACGGGAGGCAGCAGUGGGGAAUAUUGCACAAUGGGCGGAAGCCUGAUGCAGCAACGCCGCGUGCGGGAUGACGGCCUUCCGGUUGUAAACCGCUUUCGCCUGUGACGAAGCGUGAGUGACGGUAAUGGGUAAAGAAGCACCGGCUAACUACGUG